rnacentral:rRNA from 1 species
UACGUAGGUGGCGAGCGUUGUCCGGAUUUACUGGGCGUAAAGGGCGUGCAGGCGGCCCGUUAAGUGCAUGGUGAAAGCUCCCGGCUCAACUGGGAGAGGUCUGUGUAUACUGGCGGGCUUGAGGGGGGGUAGAGGAAAGUGGAAUUCCCGGUGUAGUGGUGAUAUGCGUAGAUAUCGGGGAGGAACACCUGUGGCGAAGGCGGCUUUCUGGGCCCUACCUGACGCUGAGACGCGAAAGCGUGGGGAGCGAACCGG